CGCAGAGAGACCAGUUACAAGGCUACUACUUAAACCCAGAAUGACCUAAUUAGCAAAUUGGAUGACAACUAAGACAAAUAGCUUAACAUGAUUCACAGCCAUGAAUAAGUGCCCUUUCCUUGACAUCAUUGCUUAUCAAAGCACGGUCCCCAGAGCAGCAGUCUCAUCAUCUCCUGGGAAAACUGCUGGAAACGCAGACUCUCAGGCCCCACCCCAGACUGACUGAAACAGAAGCUGGGAGUGGGCCUGCAAGCUGGGCAUCGGCCAGCUUCCAGAUCUCCGGAUACUACUUUCUUACCCCUCCUACUUGCACUCACCCCACCAAAAUUAAUAGAUCAGAGCUUCGACACUAGCUAUUGUUCUCAUUGUGCACGACGUGGAAAUGUCUCAAGCAAAGAUCUCUCACCUAUCAGUCAAAAUCCUCCCGUAAAGUUGGCUUUCAUUGGAGGAUCUCCUCCGUAACGUGUGGUUUCAAGCCUGCUGCCCACCAAUAUUAACAGUCCCAGUUCUGCCAGGCAGUGGCAGGACAGCACUUCCCCGCCCGCUCAAUUGGAUAUCGCCCCUUGCUUCAGCCAAUGAAAUGCAAGCGGAAGUCACGGGGCUCUCUCCAGGGCAGAAGUGUCAGGAGCCAGCGAACUCCAAGUCCACCGGGCUUCCUUCCUCUCGGCAGGUACCAGCAGCAUCUGACCUGGUGGCUCCUCCAUCAGCCUAGGUCCCCGAGCGACUGUUCUAAGCAGAAAUCCCCCCUGCCUACCCACAUUGAUGUGGAGCAUGAAAUAAACUGAAAUUGUAAAACUCCGACUUCGUGCAGAGCUCUCUGGAUGGC
ensembl:lncRNA